UCGAUGGGGAUACUGUAAUAAUGUGAGGGGUGCUUUAUGGAAACAGGUGCUGUCCAGUUAUUGAAAACAUGAUCUAGCCGAAAGGGUCGCCAAGGGAGGAAAGAAGACAUACGUUGAGUGCGGACACCCCAUGAUGGCCAGAAGGGAUGGGUGCAUUCCAGAAUGUUAUUAAGGGGAGAGAUGGGCCUGCUGUUCUCUACUUAACAGGAAUAUAUCUGUACAAGCCCUGCCACAAAAGGACCAGCUGACAUCAUGUCAGUGACUCUCUUGUUAA